rnacentral:rRNA from 1 species
UACGUAGGGACCGAGCGUUGUCCGGAAUCAUUGGGCGUAAAGAGCGUGUAGGCGGCCCCUUAAGUCCUGCGUGAAAUCCUGCGGCUCAACCGCAGACGGUCGUGGGAAACUGGAGGGCUAGAGUGCGGGAGAGGAGAGUGGAAUUCCCGGUGUAGCGGUGAAAUGCGCAGAUAUCGGGAAGAACACCCGUGGCGAAGGCGGGUCUCUGGGCCGUAACUGACGCUGAGGAGCGAAAGCGUGGGGAGCAAACAGG